GGCCGGCCCCCUCCCCAGGCCCCUCCUUCCAGCCGAAGCUCCCGCUCACCCCUGCCACGUCAAAGGAGGCAGAAGGGGAGUCGGGAGCAGAGAGGGGACCACGGGCUGGCU
rnacentral:pre_miRNA from 1 species